GACGAACGCUGGCGGCGUGCCUAACACAUGCAAGUCGAACGAGACCUUCGGGUCUAUUGGCGCACGGGUGCGUAAGGCGUGGGAAGCUGCCCUUGGGUUCGGAAUACCAGUUGGAAACGCCUGCUAAUACCGGAUGAUGGCGUAUAUCCAAAGAUUUAUCGCCCAAGGAUGAGCCCGCGUAGGAUUAGCUAGUUGGUUAGGUAAAGGGUCCCCACGGGGACGAUCCUGAGCUUGUCUGGGUGGAGGAUUAGCCACACUGGGACUGAGACGCGGCCGGGACUCCUACGGGAGGCAGGAGUGGGGAAUAGUGGAACGUGGGCGAAGGGAUGAUGGAGCAAGGCCGGGUGAGUGAUGAUGUCAUGAGGGAUGUAAAGCUUUUUUAACUGGGAUGAUAUUGACGGUACCGGGAGAAUAAGCGCCGGCUAACUACGUG
rnacentral:rRNA from 1 species